rnacentral:rRNA from 1 species
GACGAACGCUGGCGGCGUGCUUAACACAUGCAAGUCGAACGGAAAGGCCUCUUUCGGGGGGUACUCGAGUGGCGAACGGGUGAGUAACACGUGAGUAACCUGCCCUUGACUUUGGGAUAACUUCAGGAAACUGGGGCUAAUACCGGAUAGGAGCUCCUGCUGCAUGGUGGGGGUUGGAAAGUUUCGGCGGUUGGGGAUGGACUCGCGGCUUAUCAGCUUGUUGGUGGGGUAGUGGCUUACCAAGGCUUUGACGGGUAGCCGGCCUGAGAGGGUGACCGGCCACAUUGGGACUGAGAUACGGCCCAGACUCCUACGGGAGGCAGCAGUGGGGAAGAUUGCACAAUGGGUGGAAGCCUGAUGCAGCAACGCCGUGUGCGGGAUGACGGCCUUCGGGUUGUAAACCGCUUUCGCUCAUGACGAAGCUUUGUGUGACGGUAGUGGGUAAAGAAGCACCGGCUAACUACGUG